rnacentral:rRNA from 1 species
CCUACGGGAGGCAGCAGUGGGGGAUAUUGCACAAUGGGGGAAACCCUGAUGCAGCGACGCCGCGUGUGGGAAGACGGUCCUCUGGAUUGUAAACCACUGUCCCCAGGGACGAAGAUGACGGUACCUGGGGAGGAAGCUCCGGCAAACUACGUGCCAGCAGCCGCGGUAAUACGUAGGGAGCGCGCGUUGUCCGGAAUUACUGGGUGUAAGGGGAGCGUAGGCGGGACUGCAAGUUGGGUGUAAAAUCUACCGGCUCAACCGGUAGCCGCACUCAAAACUGCAGUUCUUGAGUGAAGUAGAGGCAGGCGGAAUUCCUAGUGUAGCGGUGAAAUGCGUAGAUAUUAGGAGGAACACCAGUGGCGAAGGCGGCCUGCUGGGCUUUUACUGACGCUGAGGCUCGAAAGUGUGGGGAGCAAACAGGAUUAGAUACCCGGGUAGUC